rnacentral:rRNA from 1 species
CAGCCGCCGCGGGAAUACGUAGGGGGCGAGCGUUGUCCGAAGUUACUGGGCGUAAAGAGCGCGUAGGCUGGUCUUUAAGUGAGUGGUGAAAGGUUCGGGCUCAACCCGGACACUGCCUUUCAUACUGGGGACCUUGAGUGUGGGAGAGGCGAGUGGAAUGGUCGGUGUAGCGGUGAAGUGCGUAGAUAUCGAUCGGAACACCCAUGGCGAAGGCAGCUCGCUGGCCUAACACUGACGCUGAGGCGCGAAAGCGUGGGGAGCAAACAGGAUUAGAUACCCCCGUAGUCCCUGUCUCUUAUAC